UACAGAGGGUGCAAGCGUUAAUCGGAAUUACUGGGCGUAAAGCGCGCGUAGGCGGUUCGAUAAGUCGGAUGUGAAAGCCCUGGGCUCAACCUGGGAAUGCCAUUCGAUACUGUCGAGCUAGAGUAUGGUAGAGGAAAGCGGAAUUCCACAUGUAGCGGUGAAAUGCGUAGAUAUGUGGAGGAACAUCAGUGGCGAAGGCGGCUUUCUGGACUAAUACUGACGCUGAGGAGCGAAAGCAUGGGGAGCGAACAGG
rnacentral:rRNA from 1 species